rnacentral:rRNA from 1 species
UACGUAGGGUGCUAGCGUUGUUCGGAAUCAUUGGGCGUAAAGCGCGUGUAGGCUGUCAGUUAAGUCUUGUGUGAAAUCCCUCGGCCUAACCGAGGAAGUGCAUGGGAAACUAACUGGCUGGAAGACGGUAGAGGAAGGUGGAAUUCCAAGUGUAGAGGUGAAAUUCGUAGAUAUUUGGAGGAACACCGAUGGCGAAGGCGGCUCACUGGUCCGGUACUGACGCUGAGGUGCGAAAGCGUGGGGAGCAAACAGG